rnacentral:rRNA from 1 species
GUACACUCCUGCGGGAGGCAGCAGUGGGGAAUUUUGGACAAUGGGCGAAAGCCUGAUCCAGCCAUGCCGCGUGCAGGAUGAAGGCCUUCGGGUUGUAAACUGCUUUUGUACGGAACGAAACGGCCUUUUCUAAUAAAGAGGGCUAAUGACGGUACCGUAAGAAUAAGCACCGGCUAACUACGUGCCAGCAGCCGCGGUAAUACGUAGGGUGCAAGCGUUAAUCGGAAUUACUGGGCGUAAAGCGUGCGCAGGCGGUUAUGUAAGACAGUUGUGAAAUCCCCGGGCUCAACCUGGGAACUGCAUCUGUGACUGCAUAGCUAGAGUACGGUAGAGGGGGAUGGAAUUCCGCGUGUAGCAGUGAAAUGCGUAGAUAUGCGGAGGAACACCGAUGGCGAAGGCAAUCCCCUGGACCUGUACUGACGCUCAUGCACGAAAGCGUGGGGAGCAAACAGGAUUAGAUACCCGAGUAGUCCCAUGA